rnacentral:rRNA from 1 species
AUGAAUCUGCUGCAAGGUACCAAUACUCGUCAAUCUUCAGUUAAUAAUCUCACCCGUGGUCGUGGCAAUGGAGGCCGAGGCCGUGGUCACCGUGGUCACCAGCAAGGGCUUGGCCGCGGCAACAGCAACAGCAGCGAGCGUGGGCGCGCCAACAACUCUGGCCCACGCCCCUCGGGUGCCUCCUACUCCAACACCAGGCCAAGAUGUCAGCUCUGCAAGAAACUAGGGCAUGAAGUGAAGGACUGCUGGCAUCGUUAUGAUGAGGAUUUCGUGCCUGAAGAACGCCAUGUCGCUGCUGCAAUCAGAGAGCAAGAAGAAGGAGGAGACACCAUCUGGUAUACUGACUCUGGAGCCACAGAUCACGUCACCAGCGAGCUAGAGAAGCUUGCAAACAGAGAAAGAUACUAUGGCAAUGAUCAAAUAAACACUGCUGCAAGUGGAGGAGGUAUGGACAUACUUCAUAUUGGUCAAUCUUCCAUUAACCUCCCUACUUCUAAACGUGAUCUUCUUUUAAAAGAUGUGCUUCAUGUCCCUCAAGAAAACAAAAAUCAUGCUUCCAUGUCUCGUUUGACAACCGAUAAUAAUGUUUUCUUUGAA